rnacentral:misc_RNA from 1 species
UAAUCUUAUACCACUGAACGAAUUCUUCUCUUCUUCGUCUUUAAAAUGCCGUUGGCAUCUGCUCAACUUCCUGUUAUCAUUCAGGCUAAUAACUGGACGACGAUGAGUGGAUGGAGGAGAAGAGCGGACUACGAAACCUGGAUACUGGUGUGCAAUCGUAUAGUGGAAAGGGAAUCGGAUAAAUCAACGGACGUCGAGGCGUUAGCGUUUUAUAGUGCAUUAAUUAGUCCGUGAUGAGGAGGCGGAUAAAAAGUUUUUACAACGUUAUAAAUGCAAAAGGUGGAUAGGAUCGUUGGUAAGACUCGUGGGACGCGAUUCGCCAUUUAAUUUCACCUUCUUUUUACGCUGACCAUCGUCCGUGUCGUAUUUUACAAGGCUUCGCGGAUCAGGCCGAAAUUACACCGAGGCCAGAACAGCGACAGACCAACACGACCGCCGGCCAAAUUAUUAUUACGGCAAAAACCGAGCAGGAAGUUGCGUUCUUAUCUUUCGUAAAAAUCUCGGGGCGAAACGCGAAACGCGAAAUUGCGCGAAUAAAUGUCGGAUUCCCCGCUGGUCUCUUGUCUCCGCGACGAUGGCGCGAACGUGCAAAGUUAUCGAGCAUGAAGAUCGUCCGACGGAGGUUCCACCGAUCCAAGAAAAAAGGCCGUAACAUUCGAUAUUCGAACGGUCGUGCCACUUUUUUCCGUCCAGCGAUCUUUUUUUUUUCUGCGGAGAGAAACGAGUCCCGUCCAGUGAUUGUUUUAGAUACUUGUUUUUUAAUCUCUUGAUUUACGACCUUCCUUCUAAGUAGUUACUUAAGAGGUUGUUAUAAUUAAUCGUCACUGUAAUAUAUACGACGAUCGGACUGUGAAUGAAACAUAUAAAAUAUCCACGUUUCCUAUUCCACAUUUCUAUCGAGCAUCGUAACUCGAAAACUGGAAAAUCAUUUUCUGCGUACAUUCCAUUUUCUUAAUCGUACAUAAAACUCCGUCGUCAAUGGAGAACGAUCAUUUGUUAACUAGCCAAUAACGAUUAAACGUAUAAUCGGUACCUUGCAUUGCUAAAGGCUGAAAAAGCUCGAUCAACCGACUAAAGAGCAGCUUUUUCUCGCACGAUCGCCGGAAUCGCCGAUCUUUCUCGUUUCGCUAGAAGAUGAAAAAGAAAAAAGAAAAAAAAUGGUGAAUCGCUAUACGUAUAAGUUUAAUCGCUGGGUAUAGCGGUCGAAGAGGAAAAUCUCGGACGAGGAAUCGAAGACGGUCGAUAAGACCAGGGAAAGAACGAAGCGGGACUAAUCGUAAGAGAGAAAGGAGAAGGAAGAAGAAGAGGACGAGCAAGACAAAAAAAAAAAAAAAAAAAAAUAAAAUAAAAAAAAAAUAAAAAAAGAUAUGCGAAAUAGCGUAUCGAUGCAUACCGACACGUAAGACCGUGUGUAGGCCAUAAACUAGCGGGGGUAGAAAGAUAUUUAUGCGACGGCUGGCGAGCAUAGAAGAGCGAAGAAGGAUUAUAUCUUCGGAUACGUAAUAACGGUUAGCUUGGAAUUAGCGAACUAAUGCGGGCAAGCGCGUCGAUCGGUAUCGCGUUUGCCAUUUAGGCCCUAACCAAACUAUACACCUGCCCUACCUGUAAUCACGAUCCAUCUACGCUAACAGAUUUUUUCUCUCCUUCCUUCUCCAUAUUUCCCUCUUCUUUGCGCACGAGGGACACGCGAUGCGACGAUCUCUCUUUUUCGCUCUGCAGUCGAUCCUAAAUCGCAUGUAUUCGUAAUUGAAAUGUACGAGCGAUACUUA